rnacentral:rRNA from 1 species
UACGUAGGGUGCGAGCGUUAAUCGGAAUUACUGGGCGUAAAGCGUGCGCAGGCGGUUCGUUGUGUCGGCGGUGAAAGCCCCGGGCUUAACCUGGGAAUGGCCGUCGAAACUGGCGAACUGGAGUGUGGCAGAGGGGGGUGGAAUUCCGCGUGUAGCAGUGAAAUGCGUAGAGAUGCGGAGGAACACCGAUGGCGAAGGCAGGUCCCUGGGCCAAUACUGACGCUCAUGCACGAAGGCGUGGGGAGCAAACAGG